rnacentral:rRNA from 1 species
UACGGGAGGCAGCAGUGGGGAAUAUUGGACAAUGGGCGAAAGCCUGAUCCAGCCAUGCCGCAUGAGUGAAGAAGGCCUUCGGGUUGUAAAGCUCUUUUAGUGAGAAAGAUAAUGACGGUACUCACAGAAGAAGUCCUGGCUAACUCCGUGCCAGCAGCCGCGGUAAUACGGAGAGGGCUAGCGUUAUUCGGAAUUAUUGGGCGUAAAGAGCGCGUAGGCUGAUUUAGUAAGUUAAAAGUGAAAUCCCAAAGCUUAACUUUGGAAUUGCUUUUUAAAACUGCUAGUCUAGAGAUUUGAAAGAGGAUAGAGGAAUUCCUAGUGUAGAGGUGAAAUUCGUAAAUAUUAGGAGGAACACCAGUGGCGAAGGCGUCUAUCUGGUUCAAAUCUGACGCUGAGGCGCGAAGGGCGUGGGGAGCAAACGAGGGAUUAGAUACC